CACACUGCUUAUGAUGUGAACAGUACUCCCUGGAGGGGGGGACUGCUGGGAUAGCUCUACUUAAAAUCCAGCCACACCCACCUGACUCAGGACUGAUUGAUGAUAAGAGGAUGACCUGGAGACUAGUCAGAUCAAUGCCGACAAUUAAAGGAUCAUUAUUAACAAGGCUUAGGAAGAGAUCCAGAAUGACUACCCUCUGACCUCAACUCCAGAUAAGAAAACUAAGGCUCACUGUCAAGGCAAAAAAAAAAAAAACACUGUCCCAGCAUCAGGGAGUGGCAAGGCUUUUGCAGAGCAAACUUCAAUGCUAGAGGAAUUAAGCAUCUUACAAACUCUUCUGUGGGCAGAGAAGAACUGACCCAAGACAGCAGGACAAGGUCGUGUUGGGGGAGAAACUCCAGCUGGUUUGAUGCAAGAGCUGAGUCGGUGCGUGGGUAGAAGAGACUGAAAGACGCCAUCUCCCUCCACGUGUUCUCUGGGGUUGGGGGGAGCAUUUCUGAAGGGCUUUCUACAUCAUCUUCAGAGGUCCUUGGAUGAGUGUGGGCCCCUGCUGUCCACAUUAGCAGUCAGCUGAGUAACUGUGGGGCUGAGGCAAUAGCUCAGUCGUCAAAGCGCGUCAGGACUGGAUCACCAGAAUCCACAGGAAUGCUCAUGGCCUACAUGGUGGCCUGACCUUUGUCCCAACUCCAGAAGGAUUCCCGGAGCAAGAGGGCUAAGAACAUCCACAAGCUCGGAGUUUGAUUGAGAGACCCUGCCUUAAUGAAUAGGGAGGACAG
rnacentral:lncRNA from 1 species